CCGGGCCGCUCGUCGCCGCCUGUUUUAGUGAGCGGCGAUGUCCGCUCUGGUGCUUUUUCAUUUCUGUGGAUCCUUUUUUGGCGUGCACUCGGACGGUUCUGGAUCGGCGGGCACGCCUGUAACCGUCGCUGUCACGGAUCAACGAUAACGGCUCGCGGUCAUGCUGCAGCUCCCCCUGGUGGUGACAGCUCGGCUGGACCUGGUGCUGUUGCUGGUCUCUGUGCUGGCCUUCUGGACCAGACUCGGUCGUCUCGGGUACCCGGAUGCUGUGGUGUUUGACGAGGGUAUUACGGACAGUUUGUGUCUCUCUACAUGAAGGGAGUCUUCUUCAUGGAUGACAGUGGACCUCCCUUGGACACAUGAUCCUGG